rfam:Massilia sp. JS1662 GAT55, whole genome shotgun sequence.
UCCCUGAUAGCUCAGUCGGUAGAGCGACGGACUGUUAAUCCGCAGGUCCCUGG